rnacentral:rRNA from 1 species
UACGGGGGGGGCAAGCGUUGUUCGGAAUUACUGGGCGUAAAGGGCUCGUAGGCGGCCAACUAAGUCCGACGUGAAAUCCCCAGGCUUAACCCAGGAACUGCGUCCGAUACUGGUUGGCUUGAAUCCGGGAGAGGGAUGUGGAAUUCCAGGUGUAGCGGUGAAAUGCGUAGAUAUCUGGAGGAACACCGGUGGCGAAGGCGACAUCCUGGACCGGUAUUGACGCUGAGGCGCGAAAGCCAGGGGAGCAAACGGG